rnacentral:rRNA from 1 species
UACGGGGGGGGUAAGCGUUGUUCGGAAUUACUGGGCGUAAAGGGCUCGUAGGCGGCCAACUAAGUCAGACGUGAAAUCCCUCGGCUUAACCGGGGAACUGCGUCUGAUACUGGUUGGCUUGAAUCCGGGAGAGGGAUGUGGAAUUCCAGGUGUAGCGGUGAAAUUCGUAGAUAUCGGGAGGAACACCAGUGGCGAAGGCGGCGAUCUGGGUGGAUACUGACGCUGAGGUGCGAAAGCGUGGGGAGCAAACAGG